GCUGGUGUGGCUCAAUUGGUAGAGCAACUGACUUGUAAUCAGUAGGUUGGGGGUUCGAGUCCUCUCACCAGCU
rfam:[Clostridium] purinilyticum strain DSM 1384 CLPT_23c, whole genome shotgun sequence.